UGUGUGUGGUAAACAUGCUUCUUUUUCUUUAUUUAUUUGUUUUUAUUAUUAUUGUAGGAAUGUUUUUGCAGUUGAGAUUUUGGGAUUGCCUUUUCUCUGGGACUGAGUUCAAAUGCAACCACGGAGCUGAAACAGUGCAUCAGUUCCCACUAGUACUGCAGACAUAAGCCUAACAUCUUGAGAAGUCAUAGGAAAAAUAAGCAUUCCCUGGCAAGCACUGAGUGAACUUAUACCAACAUGGAUGUCAUUUUCAAGCUAUGCAGUCGGAUAGUCUGGCAAGAAACUGGACAGAAUUACCUCUUUGUUAGCUCUUUUAACAGAACUUCUAGUGUUUCUGGGGAUUUCUUCAUUUGUAAACCUCUGUUGGUGACAGAAACCUUUAGUCACUUGGGAUCUCAUCUGCCUAAACCGGUGCUGAGAGAAGCAUGAUGAAAGAUGGAGAGCCAGACACCAUAUCAGAAGUCACCUGAUAAGAGCUGGCAGUGGAUUUGAUGAAAGUUUGUGAACCUGGAAAUAUUUUGAAUAAAACAUUUCAAGUAAGCUGAAAUUAACA
rnacentral:lncRNA from 1 species